AGGGACAGAGGAACGAGUAGAGAUACCAUGACCAGGAAGUAAUCAAACGAAUCCAGAGAAUGCUAAACAGCUCCCACCAUCUUUGGGAAGACCAGAGAACCAGCCUUGGAGAACACUACCAGGAACAGAUCUUCACAUCUGCUCCACAACUCGUCCCCAAAAUCCACCACCAGUGACUCAGUGCCAGAUGCAAUCACCUUGCUGGAGCUGCCACCAAUGCCCAGUAUGAGGGGCUGCCACUAUCAAGACCAUUGCUCCCUGUCGUGGCUGGCACUCUUACCAGACUCGAGUCCAUCCAGAUGGUCUCUUCCUGCACCCUGGUUGCAAGGAAAACCAAAAAAUGAAAAAUAAAACUGUCGAGGAUGGAUGGAGCAGACCCCCCCCCCCCCAACUCCCAGAGAGGCUUCAGCAGACAGCAGAAGGGGCACAGCCUCUGCAAGCAGGUCCUCAGCCUCCCUCGGCGGGCCCAUGCCUGAUUUCCCUCAGUCUGGCCUGGACCAGGGCCAAGGAGCACGAAGGAUGUCCCAGGCUGGUCCGGCCCUGUCUGACAGCCCAUUAGCCCCAGCUGUCGGAGACAUCUGCCUCUUCUGAUUACCGUCAGAGCAGAGGAGAAGCGACGGCCCCCAGCAUCCCGCUGUCUCCCCCUGCACCAAACUGUCAGCAAGUGAUUGUGCUUCCACUUGGAGGCACUCAGAAGCCAUCCCUGGCUGCUAUUUAUAACCUCCCUGUGAGGUCACCUGCCAGUGGAGCUCGAGGGGGAGUGGGCCUC